GGAUUAGAUACCCUGGUAGUCCACGCCGUAAACGAUGUCGACUAGCCGUUGGAUUCCUUGAGGAUUUAGUGGCGCAGCUAACGCGAUAAGUCGACCGCCUGGGGAGUACGGCCGCAAGGUUAAAACUCAAAUGAAUUGACGGGGGCCCGCACAAGCGGUGGAGCAUGUGGUUUAAUUCGACGCAACGCGAAGAACCUUACCAGGUCUUGACAUCCAGAGAACUUACUAGAGAUAGUUUGGUGCCUUCGGGAACUCUGUGACAGGUGCUGCAUGGCUGUCGUCAGCUCGUGCCG
rnacentral:rRNA from 1 species